rnacentral:tRNA from 1 species
GCCUGGGUGGCUCAGUCGGUUGAGCGUCCGACUUCAGCUCAGGUCAUGAUCUCGCAGUUCGUGAGUUCGAGCCCCGUGUCAGGCU